AGAGUUUGAUCCUGGCUCAGGAUGAACGCUGGCGGCGUGCUUAACACAUGCAAGUCGAACGCACCUUCGGGUGAGUGGCGGACGGGUGAGUAACGCGUGAGAAUCUGCCCUCAGGAGGGGGAUAACGGCUGGAAACGGCCGCUAAUACCCCAUAUGCCGAGAGGUGAAACGAGUUUUCGCCUGAGGAUGAGCUCGCGUCUGAUUAGCUAGUUGGUGGGGUAAGAGCCUACCAAGGCAUCGAUCAGUAGCUGGUCUGAGAGGAUGAUCAGCCACACUGGGACUGAGACACGGCCCAGACUCCUACGGGAGGCAGCAGUGGGGAAUUUUCCGCAAUGGGCGAAAGCCUGACGGAGCAACGCCGCGUGAGGGAUGAAGGCCUCUGGGCUGUAAACCUCUUUUCUCAAGGAAGAAGAUCUGACGGUACUUGAGGAAUAAGCCACGGCUAAUUCCGUGCCAGCAGCCGCGGUAAUACGGGAGUGGCAAGCGUUAUCCGGAAUUAUUGGGCGUAAAGCGUCCGCAGGCGGUCUUGAAAGUCUGUUGUUAAAGCGUGGAGCUUAACUCCAUUUCAGCAAUGGAAACUAGAAGACUAGAGUGUGGUAGGGGCAGAGGGAAUUCCCGGUGUAGCGGUGAAAUGCGUAGAUAUCGGGAAGAACACCAGUGGCGAAGGCGCUCUGCUGGGCCAUAACUGACGCUCAUGGACGAAAGCCAGGGGAGCGAAAGGGAUUAGAUACCCCUGUAGUCCUGGCCGUAAACGAUGAACACUAGGUGUCGGGGGAAUCGACCCCCUCGGUGUCGUAGCCAACGCGUUAAGUGUUCCGCCUGGGGAGUACGCACGCAAGUGUGAAACUCAAAGGAAUUGACGGGGGCCCGCACAAGCGGUGGAGUAUGUGGUUUAAUUCGAUGCAACGCGAAGAACCUUACCAGGGUUUGACAUCCUGCGAACCCCUUGGAAACGAGGGGGUGCCUUCGGGAGCGCAGAGACAGGUGGUGCAUGGCUGUCGUCAGCUCGUGUCGUGAGAUGUUGGGUUAAGUCCCGCAACGAGCGCAACCCACGUCUUUAGUUGCCAGCAUUCAGUUGGGCACUCUAGAGAGACCGCCGGUGAUAAACCGGAGGAAGGUGUGGAUGACGUCAAGUCAUCAUGCCCCUUACAUCCUGGGCUACACACGUACUACAAUGCUACGGACAAAGGGCAGCAAACUCGCGAGAGCUAGCAAAUCCCAUAAACCGUGGCUCAGUUCAGAUCGUAGGCUGCAACUCGCCUACGUGAAGGAGGAAUCGCUAGUAAUCGCAGGUCAGCAUACUGCGGUGAAUACGUUCCCGGGCCUUGUACACACCGCCCGUCACACCAUGGAAGUUGGCCACGCCCGAAGUCGUUACUCCAACCCUUGUGGAGGAGGACGCCGAAGGUGGGGCUGAUGACUGGGGUGAAG
rnacentral:rRNA from 1 species